rnacentral:tRNA from 1 species
CAAAAGCUUUAAGGAAAGCUCUUUGUUUUUUGAAAGGGUGCUUUUAUGAGAUAGAGCUUUUUUAGAUAAUGCUUUUUUAGAUAAUGCUGGGGAAGGUUUUCCGGUUUAUCUCGGAGGGCUUGUAGCUCAGUUGGUUAGAGCGCGCGCUUGAUAAGCGUGAGGUCGGAGGUUCAAGUCCUCCCAGGCCCACCAAUUUACCUAUCCAUUUGCCUUUAUCCGUUUAUUUGCCGAUUUAUCGGUCUAUUGAAUUUAAGUGUUGGUAGCAGUUUUUAUAAUGAUGAGAAAUCAUGCUUAUAAAGGAACUCCUUAUAAAAGGCUUGUUUUUAAAAUGUGACGCUUAUCCAUUUCGCUUAGGCAAGAGAAACUUCAAGCGGUUCAAAUGCAAAAGGCUUUAAAUUUUGCAAAACACUUUGAAUUUUAAAGUGAUCCAAGUUCGUGAUCUCGAAUUUAAAAGUUUCGAAUGCUUUAUCCUUUUUUGGGGGCCGUAGCUCAGCUGGGAGAGCACCUGCUUUGCAAGCAGGGGGUCGUCGGUUCGAUCCCGUCCGGCUCCACCAUUUAGAUCAUCAUCAUUGUUGUGAGAACACUCUUUAGUGAGAGGUUA